rnacentral:rRNA from 1 species
UCUCCUACGGGAGGCAGCAGUGGGGAAUUUUGGACAAUGGGGGCAACCCUGAUCCAGCCAUGCCGCGUGUCUGAAGAAGGCCUUCGGGUUGUAAAGGACUUUUGUCAGGGAGGAAAUCCUGGUCGUUAAUAGCGAUCGGGGAUGACAGUACCUGAAGAAUAAGCACCGGCUAACUACGUGCCAGCAGCCGCGGUAAUACGUAGGGUGCGAGCGUUUAUCGGAAUUACUGGGCGUAAAGCGUGCGCAGGCGGUUGUGCAAGUCUGAUGUGAAAGCCCCGGGCUUAACCUGGGAACGGCAUUGGAGACUGCACGACUAGAGUACGUCAGAGGGGGGUAGAAUUCCACGUGUAGCAGUGAAAUGCGUAGAGAUGUGGAGGAAUACCGAUGGCGAAGGCAGCCCCCUGGGAUGAUACUGACGCUCAUGCACGAAAGCGUGGGGAGCAAACAGGAUUAGAUACCCUGGUAGUCCACGCCCUAAACGAUGUCAAUUAGCUGUUGGGGGUUUGAAUCCUUGGUAGCGUAGCUAACGCG